GACUGGUACAAGUGGAGUGGUGUUUACAAUUGAUCACAACCAGUUACAGAUUUCCUUUGUUCCUUCUCUACUCCCACUGCUUCACUUGACCAGUCUUAA
ensembl:misc_RNA Y_RNA Y RNA